UAGGUUUUGUUUUCAUCUUUAUUUUUCUUGUGAAGAUUAGAGAAGUUAAUUAUUCUGCCACUGAGUGAGCCAUAUGGGACUCAGGUCUUCCUGAUGCUGGACCCGGAAUAAAGGACCAGGACCAACAGAAUCCUGGAGAUGUGAAAAUGUGAAGAGCUCAUACUGGUGUGAUUGGGAUGGGGUGACAAAGAGUGGAUGACUAUGGCAGGGGCAAGGAAAGGAAGAAUAAUGGAAGCAGCUUUAUCCAGCUUGUAUUUAUUACAUCUUCUGAUUUCAUCAAGGGGCC
rnacentral:lncRNA from 1 species